UACGUAUGGUGCAAGCGUUAUCCGGGUUUACUGGGCGUAAAGGGAGCGCAGGCGGCGCGCCAAGUCUGAUGUGAAACCCCGGGGCUCAACCCCGGGCAUGCAUUGGAAACUGGCGGGCUGGAGUGCCGGAGAGGUAAGCGGAAUUCCUAGUGUAGCGGUGAAAUGCAUAGAUAUUAGGAGGAACACCAGUGGCGAAGGCGGCUUACUGGACGGCAACUGACGCUGAGGCUCGAAAGCGUGGGGAGCAAACAGG
rnacentral:rRNA from 1 species